rnacentral:rRNA from 1 species
GCGAACGCUGGCGGCAGGCUUAACACAUGCAAGUCGAGCGGGCACUUUCGGGUGUCAGCGGCGGACGGGUGAGUAACGCGUGGGAACGUGCCCUCUGGUUCGGAAUAACUCAGGGAAACUUGAGCUAAUACCGGAUACGCCCUUUUGGGGAAAGGCUUGCUGCCGGAGGAUCGGCCCGCGUCUGAUUAGCUAGUUGGUGAGGUAACGGCUCACCAAGGCGACGAUCAGUAGCUGGUCUGAGAGGAUGAUCAGCCACACUGGGACUGAGACACGGCCCAGACUCCUACGGGAGGCAGUAGUGGGGAAUAUUGGACAAUGGGCGCAAGCCUGACCCAGCCAUGCCGCGUGAGUGAUGAAGGCCUUAGGGUUGUAAAGCUCUUUUAUCCGGGACGAUAAUGACGGUACCGGAGGAAUAAGCCCCGGCUAACUUCGUG